AUAUCUCUCUGUACGGGAAGGAUGAGAAGCUUCGACUAAGGUUCGAUUCGAGCGAAAGCGAGAAA
rnacentral:sRNA from 1 species